UAACGAAUCUUGGGCAAUGGGCGCAAGCCUGACCCAGCGAUGCCGCGUGCAGGAGGAAGCCCCUCGGGGUGUAAACUGCUGUCAGGGGUUAGCAAGCGAAGGGAGUUAACAGCUCCCGGAGUUGAGCAGCCCCAGAGGAAGCCUCGACUAACUCUGUGCCAGCAGUCGCGGUAAGACAGAGGAGGCAAGCGUUGUUCGGAAUCACUGGGCUUAAAGCGCGUGUAGGCGGCUUAGAAAGUGUCGUGUGAAAUCCCGCGGCUCAACCGCGGAACUGCACGGCAAACUACUUGGCUUGAGGUCGGUAGAGGUGCCUGGAACUCUAGGUGGAGCGGUGAAAUGCGUAGAUAUCUAGAGGAACGCCAGAAGCGAAAGCGGGGCACUGGGCCGAUUCUGACGCUGAGACGCGAAAGCGUGGGGAGCAAACA
rnacentral:rRNA from 1 species